UGCAUCGAUGAAGAACGCAGCGAAAUGCGAUAACUAAUGUGAAUUGCAGAAUUCAGUGAAUCAUCGAGUCUUUGAACGCACAUUGCGCCCUCUGGUAUUCCGGAGGGCAUGCCUGUCCGAGCGUCAUUGCUGCCCUCCAGCCCGGCUGGUGUGUUGGGCCCCGUCCCCCUUCCCGGGGGGACGGGCCCGAAAGGCAGCGGCGGCACCGCGUCCGGUCCUCGAGCGUAUGGGGCUUUGUCACCCGCUCUUGUAGGCCCGGCCGGCGCCAGCCGACCCCCUCAAUCUAUUUUUUCAGGUUGACCUCGGAUCAGGUAGGGAUACCCGCUGAACUUAAGCAUAUCAAUAAGCGGAGGAA
rnacentral:rRNA from 1 species